CAUAGUUUAGGUUAUAUUUUGACUAUUGGUUUUACACUCCAAAGGGCAUUCUUUGUAGUAUUAG
rnacentral:tRNA from 1 species